CGCAUAGUGGAUUAGAUACCCGAGUAGUCCUUACUGUAAACGAUGGGUACUAAGUGUAGGGGGUGUUGAUUCCCUCUGUGCUGUAGCUAACGCAUUAAGUACCCCGCCUGGGGAGUACGGCCGCAAGGUUAAAACUCAAGGUAAUUGACGGGGGGCCGCACAAGCGGUGGAGCAUGUCGCUUAAUUCGAAGCAACGCGAAGAACCUUAUCCAGGGCUUGACAUCGCAGUGACCGCUAUAGAAAUAUAGUUU
rnacentral:rRNA from 1 species